rnacentral:lncRNA from 1 species
GGGCGGCUUGUGGACUUCCACACUUUUCCUCUCUUCGGGCCAGUCCGGGGAGAGGGUGGCUAGCUGUGGCGGCGGCCAAUUACGUGGCGGACCUGCGGGGCUAAGCUGGCACGUCACUUCCGACUAGUGGAGUUUUUAGCCUUUUAACAUUCAAGGAUUAGAGCUCCCUCUUUGCCCACUAGCAGGGCAUUAGCUGGUGCUGAAGACAGUGGCUGCUUGGCGAGCCUGGAUCUCCAAGUGACUCCAAGUGACCCCCUCAGCAACUCCUGAUGAACAGGACUGAAGCCAAUAUUAAAGCAAGUCAACCAAAGAUUCUCUGGUGUAGACAAGACAGCAAAAGGACAGACUACCUUGUGGAACCUAGCAUUGUUCUCCUUCUGCAGCACUAAGUAACAUUUGUGCUCCGUUAAGAUCUUUGCAAACCACACACAAGAAUUGCUGGUCAUCCUGCCAAUAGAUGCUGCUCACAGAACCAAAUUUCCUGUGCUGAAUUGUCACUCAUGGGCUUGAGAGUAGGAGACUGGAGACCAAGGUGGCUAGAAUCCAGUUGGGCCUGAUGUCUCCCUGUUGAAAGGGCUCCUUGUGGAAUAAACAGCACAUGGCUCCCGUGGUGGAUCUGAUAGUGGCACAGCACCAAGUGAUGCAGGCCUGCCAGGGGCCACAGACACAGAAGAUGCUCCCAGGGUCCCCCGUGUACUCCAGACACACUGCAGGCCACCUCUCCCAGCAGGUUGCCAGUCAUGGGCCCCAUCAUCAUGACUUCUGUCCAAGGUACUGUGUGCAGAAAUGUGAUUGAGAUUCAAGUCAGGGCCUCUCUGCCCUUUUCCCUCCAGAAACAAAACCAAGAUAAUUUAUCCUGAACACGGUGAAAAAAGGAAGGGAGGGAGGAGAAAAAGUCCGGGUCUCACCUGGGAUUCUCUGUCUCCUGCAACAUGAAGGAUUUAGCCUGGGAGGAGGUGGUGAGAACUCUGGGAGAGAAAAAAGAAGGAAAGAAUAGUUUUACCCAUGCUGAAGUUAAUUUAAACCUUCACCUAGAGAAGCAAAAAAACCCCCACACUUUUCCAUUUUGUGCCUCCCUUCCUAGAGUUUUAGCCAAAGGUUUAGCUAAGUAAUUGGUUUUACCAGGGCACUCACUCUUCCUAUCCCGAGUCUGUUUGACUCCCUCCCCAUCAUCCUCCUCACCUCUUUUCAGGCAGGGUGGGGAUAGCAGCAGGAGGAGAUUUUGGGAGCCUGGCAACUCCUGCAAGGACCGCAGGACAGCCCCUCUGUGGGGAUGCGUGGUGCCCCAUCUGCCGCCCUUCUGAAGAAUGCACUGCCUUCACUUUUUACUGUGUUAGAGUCCAUCCAGACUGUUCUAUCCAAAAAAGAGUUUCUUUUUCCCCCACAGGCAAUCAGGAAACGAUUCCUUUCCCAACUGCUUCUGUCUAGUGCCUGGGAAUCUUGAGUCAAUCCCUCAGUAAGUCAGUGACUAUAGAAAUCCCUCUCUGAGCCUCCCAGUUCAUGUUGCUUAGGGAACCUGAUAUUUUCAUGAAACCUGCCUACACAUGGGCAGCCCAACAGCAGAACAAAUGGUGGUGACCAAAGUGAACAAAGAAGUAUAGUUGUGCCAGCUUCGUAGUUGCCCAUGUGGACAAGUCAGCAGGAUCAGGACACGAGGAAGAGUAAAUGUGAGACAGUCAAUGUGACUUCUGCGAUAAACAGAUUUUUAAACCCCGAAAUUUUGCAAAAUUUUGGUGAAACCUGAACUUUCUUCGUUGCAUAUGCUGGCACUAUCUGUACCAUCAUACAACUGUCUCACAUUAAAGCUAUUUUUCUUGGGCACUGAUGAGCAAGGUUGGUAUGUUUGAGUUCCUCAGAUCAACAAAAACCCAUUUUCCUAUAAGUCUUACAUUUAGUAUUUAAGGAACUAAAACUUAAAUACAUUUUGUGAAAUGGUUGACACUUCACUGAUAAUGAUUUAUUGCUUGGAUUAAUAAAUUUUCCAAAAGUUGUCUUAUUAUGUAGAAUAUGGUUUGCAACCAGCAGAACCAUUAAUCUAUACUGCAAUGAUAUGCACUAUGUAUAAUUGUUUAAAAGCCUCUACUUAAUGAUGUAAAAUGCUCUAUUUAAUUACACAUUUGGGUAAACUGUAUACUAACAUCUGAUGGCAUUUUUCCACUGUUUGUUGCUUUUUUCAAAUACUUUAUUGUACAAAGCUGUUCUUAAUAUUGUUCAAGUUUUUUUUCUUUGAAUUUUGCUAAUGUUUUCCUUGAAUUAUGAGCACUGACAGAAUGUGCUUAGCACUUUUGGCUAUUCACACAGCUUUUGAGCAUGAUUUGCAUCCAAUAUUUACAUUGCUAGCAAUAAUAAGCCAUCUGUGAGUUUUGUCAAAAGUUAUUGGGGAUUUUUUAAAUUUUAGAAGUGCAAAUUAUUGUUUCUUUGAACUAACUCUUAUGCAGUUGCAAAGGCAUUUCCAGUUGUUAUAGUUUAUGUAUAAUAUCAGGUGUUCCAGAUUAUGAUUCAUUAUUAAUAUCAUUGCUUCCUUGUUCCCUGAGGUCCAGAAGAUUCAUGUUUACAAUAUUUAGAAACAAUGUUAAAAAGGUAUCCAAAGUUUGUCACUUUAUUAUUAGUUUGUUCUUAAUAUUCUGUUUAAGUUUUUGAAUUCAUAGAUAUCAAAACACUGCACAAUUAUGAUUUCCACAGGAAUAACAACACACCAACAAUAAGAACCAAAAACAGCAAAUAGGCUGCCUACAAGUUUUGACAAUAUUAGGAUAAUGAUAAUGACAGUUUUUCUAAAUCUCACAGUAAAGAAUGCAGCAACCCAGCAACACUGCUACCUGUGGCCUGGGUCUCCAGCCUGCCAGUCUAACCUGAAAAUUAUGUACUUGCCAGCCCCCACAGUCACGUGAGUGAACUGGCCCAGGCUGGUCACCAGGGUCAGUUUCUCUGUGUGUCAUUAAUUCAUUCAAUCUUCAGCAGUCUCUUUGGAGCUGAGAUGUACCUACCAUCUGCCUUUUGGGUGCUCAGGGUGGAGAACCAGAAAAGUAUAACCUAGUAUGUAUCCUCAAAGAGCUAACAAUAUGGGGUGGUACCUAUAGGUCUGGAAACACUUUACUGACUCUGUGAGGCAUACCAGGAGACGUCAGAGAACAGUCCCUCCUCAAAUGCCAAAUGAGAUGCAGAAGAAAUAGUUUGCUCAAGUUCAUGGGCCAGAUAUCCCAGUGGUCAGGGAGUUUCAUGAAUGAGAUGGAACUUUGCAUGGAACCCGAGGGAUGUGUAUGAUUUGAGUAGAUGAAGCAAAUGAGACUUUCCAAGCAGCUAGAAGUUAGGGAGCAGCAAGAUGUGUGGUGGGAUUGAGCACAGUCGGUUCAGAGGAUAGACUGCAGUUUAAUAAUUUGUAGUAAAUAUUUCCCAACUGUUUGGCACUAUUGGAGCAAGUUCUUGAAUGCCAAAUGAAGGCAUAAAUCAGUAGGAGGCAUAAUAAAAGCUGAGCAGUGCUUGGCUUUUUAUGAGCUGAUCCUGAUAGGAGCAGCUAUUCAACAAAGUUGCCAGGUCAUUGUUACAUAGCCCUGCCUUCUAGGGGCUCACUGCCUACUGGGAGAGACAGUCUGAAAGUUGGUGCAGCAUGUAACUGUUGGAUGAGGAGUUUGAGCCUGUGGACUGUGGGACCCCCGAGGAGGGUGUGACUACUCUAGGCAGAACAAUCCCACAGUUUAUUUAUAUUUAACCUUGAAAUUCAUUAGAGGAUUUUUCAGCAGAGGUUUGGUACUUGUUAAUGUUAAGGUUUGCAUUCUCUAGAACCUCAAGGAAAGCUGUACCGUGCAUAAUGUACCCUCUUAGUUAAUGUUGUGUACUGUGAUCCUGUUUCAGGGACUUGCACUUAGGAAUCUGUUACAGUGAGCACAGAAGCAGACCUGUGGGCUCAUAGUCUUCACCCCCCACCCAUAUAUACAAGAUGAACAGAGUGGAGGUUAAACAACUUGACUAAACACAGUUCAUGGUAAAGCCCAAGACUGUACCUGCCCGUCCACUGCCUUUUCCAUGUAUCCUGGAACUGAGCAUAGACCUCUUCCCAGGCAGAGCUGACAGCAAGUAAAGGAGAUCAUAAUCAGGGGACCAAACAACUUUGUCUAAAGUGUGAAUGUCACCUAAGGAGAAGCUGUGAGAUCAGAAGGGUGGGGCAGAGGAGCAGACACCAUGAGGGAGAGUCCUUGGGGGUACAUCUGCCAGACUGACACUGUCUGGCCUGGGCAGUGGAGGGGCUAGCAGGAACCACAGGUACUGGUGGUGUGGCUACUACCGUUACAACUGCCUGUGCUUGGACAUGGACCCUCUGCAAUAUGCGGCAGUCUCAUUCAUUGCCCCCUACAUUCUACACCAAGUAGAAAUGGAAGGCAAUUGGAUACUUCACAGACAAGAUCUAAGUGGAGAAGGAAUGCGUCCUGUGGCUGCAGAGAUCCUUGGAGCUUGGAGGGGAGAGCUUGAGCCCCACUGGUGAUGACUUCCCACAGCUCGCCAACUCAGCCCUCCCUAAGUCCCCAUCGGGGGCCAAUUCUCUCUCCGGGGUUGGGGGGACUCCCCCAUAGCUCAUCCAUCAUAGGGAUGUUGGUAUCUACUGUGGGUUGGGUAGGGCCGAUGUGCUGAGGAUGGCUCCCCCACAAGCAAGAGAUGUGGAUUUGGGGAGCUUCCCAUCUUGUGUUGAAGGAACAUAACUCAGAAUAAUAAGAGCCAACUAUAACAAACCCACAGCCAACAUCAUACUGAAUGGGCAAAAGCUGCAGGCAUUCCCCUUGAAAAGUGGCACAGGAUAAGGAAGCCCUUUCUCACCACUCCUAUUCAAUAUAGUGUUGAAAGUCCUGAUCACAGCAGUCAGGCAACAGAAAUAAUAAAGGGCAUCCAAAUAGGAAGAGAGGAAGUCAAACUAUCCUUGUUUGCAGACAGUAUGAUUCUAUAUCUAGAAAACCCCAUAGCCUCAGCCCAAAAGGUCCUUCAUCUGUUAAUUUCAGCAAAGUUUCAGGAGACAAAAUCAAUGUACAAAAAUCACUAACAUUCCUAUACACAGUCGCCAAGCCAAGAGCCAAAUCAGGAGCACAAUCCCAUUCAUAAUUGCCACAAAAAAGAAUAAAAUACCUAGGAAUGCAGCUAACCAAGGAAGUAAAGGAUCUCUACAAUGAGAAUCACAAACGCUGCUCAAAGAAAUCAGGGAUGACACAAACAAAUGGAAAAACUUUCCAUGCUCAUGGCUAGGAAGAAUCAGUAUCAUUAAAGUGGCCAUACUACCCAAAGCAAUUUAUAGAUUCAAUGCUAUUCCUAUCAAACUAUCAAUUACAUUUUUCACAGAACUAGAAAAAACUUAAAAUUCAUACGGAACCAAAAAGCCUAAGUAGUCAAGGCAAUCCUAAACAAAAAGAACAAAGGUGGAGGCAUCACAUUACCUAACUUCAAACUACAGGGCUACCAUGACCAAAACAGCAUGGUACUGGUACAAAAGCAGACACACAGACCAGUGGGACAGAAUAGCGAGCCUAAAAAUAAGGCCACAAACCUACAGCCAUCUGAUAUUCAACAAAGUUGACAAAAACAAGCAAUGGGGAAAGGUCUCCCUAUCCAAUAAAUGGUGCUGGGAUAACUGGCUGGCCAUAUGCAGAAGAUCAUAACUGGACCCCUUUUACUAUGUACAAAAAUUAAGAUGGUUUAAAGAGUUAAAACCCAAAAUUAUAAAAAUCCUGAAGAUAACUUAGGCAAUACCAUUCUGGACACAGGAACUGGCAAAGAUUUCAUGAUGAAGAUACCAAAAGCAAUUGUAACAAAAGCAAAAAUGGACAAAUCAGAUUUAAGAGCUUCUUCACAGCAAAAUAAACAGGGCAGACAAUCUACCGAAUGACAGAAAAUUUUUGCAAACUAUGCAUCUGACAAGGGGCUAAUAUCUAGCAUCUAUAAGGAAUUUAAACACAGUUACAGGAAAAAAAACCCACUCCAUUAAAAAAUGGGCAAAGGACAUGAACAGACACUUUCCAAAAAAGACGUACAUACAGCCAACUAGCAUGUUAAAGAAAACCUCAAUUAUCACUGAUCAUUAGAGAAAUGCAAAAUCAAAACCACGAUGAGAUAUCAUCUGCCAGUCAGGAUGGCUACAAAAAAGUAAAAAAAUAAUAGAUGUUGGUGAGGUUAUGGAGAAAAGGAACACUUAUACACUUGUUAGGAGUGUAAAUUAGUUCAAUCACUGUGGACAGCAGUGUGUCAAUUCCUCAGAGAGCUAAAAACAGAACCACCAUUUGACCCACCAAUCCCAUUACUGGGUAUUUACCUAAAGGAAUAUAAAUCAUUCCACCAUAAAGACACAUGCAAGUGUAUGUUCAUUGCAGCACUAUUAACAGUAACAAAGCCGGGCACAGUGGCUCACCUCACGACUGUAAUCCCAGCACUUUGGGAGGCUGAGGUAGGUGGAUCACCUGAGGUCGGCAGUUUGAGACCAGCCUGACCAACAUGGAGAAACCCCAUCUCUACUAAAAAUACAAAAUUAGCCAGGUGUGGUGGCUCAUGCCUGUAAUCCCAGCUACUUGGGAGGCCAAGGCAGGAGAAUUGCUUGAACUCAGGAGGCAGAGGUUGCGGUGAGCUGAGAUCACACCAUUGCACUCCAGCCUGGUGAAGGAGCAAGACUCCAUCUCAAAAAAAAAAAAAAAAAAAAAAAAAGGGAAAAAUACACAUUCAGAGGAGACAAAAAAUAAAAAACGAUGCAUGCCUACAGGAUCUAGAAAAUAACUUCUUAAGGGCAAAUCUAGGAGUUAUUGGCCUUAAAGAAGAGAUAAAGAGAUAGGAAUAGAAAGUUUGUUGAAAGGGAUAAUAACAUAGAACUUCCUAAACCUACAGAAAGAUAUUUAUAUCCAAGUACAAGAAGGUUAUAGAACACCAGGCCAAUUUAACCCAAAGAUUACCUCAAGGCAUUUAAUAAUCAAACUCCCACAGGACAAGGGUAAAGAAAGGAUCCUAAAAGCAGCAAGAGAAAAGAAACAGAUAACAUACAAUGGAGCUCCAAUACAUCUGGCAGUAUAUUUUUCAGUGGAAACCUUACAAGCCAGGAGAGAGUGACAUGACAUAUGUUAAAGUGCUGAAGGGAAAAAACCUUUUACCCUAGAAUAGUAUAUCCAGCAAAAAUAUACUUCAAACAUGAAGAAUAAACAAAGACUUCCCCAGACAAACAAAAGCUGAGGGAUUUCAUCAACACUAGACUGGUCCCAUAAGAAAUGCUUAAGGGAGUACUUUGGUCAGAAAGAAACAGACAUGAAUGAGCAACAAGGAAUCAUCUAAAGGUACAAAACUCACUGUUAAGAGUAAGUACACAGAAAAACCCAAAGUAUGAUAACAUCGUAACUGUGGUGUGUAAGUAGAAAGAAUAAAUGAUAAACCAAUCAAAAAUAGUAACUACAACUUUUCAAGACAGAAAAAUAAGAUAAAAUUAGAAACAACAAAAAGUUAAAAAGUGGGGGGAUGAAGUUAAGAUGUAUAGUUUUUAUUAGUUUUUUGUUUGUUAAUGCAAACAGUGUUACCAGGUUAAAAUAAUGGGUUACAAAAUAGUAUUUGUAAUCCUUAUGGUAACCUCAAACCUAAAAAUAUACACUGGAUACAUAAAAAAUAAAAAGCAAAAACCUAAAUCAUAUCACCAGAGAAAACUACCUUCCCUAAAGGAAGACAGGAAGAAAAGAAAGAAGAAGACCACAAAACAACCAGAAAACAAAUAAAUAACAAGGCAGGAGUAAGUCUUUACUUAUCAAUAAUACAUUGAAUGGAAAUGGACUAAACUCUCCAAUCAAAAGACAUAGACUGGCUGAAUGAAUGGAGAAAACAAGACCCAUUGAUCUGUUGCCUACAAGAAACACACAAACUAUAAAGACACACAUAGACUGAAAGUAAAGAGUUGGAAAGAGUUAUUCCAUGCCAAUGGAAACCAGAAAAAAGAGAAGGAGUAUUGAUUUUGAUACAAAAACUAUAAGAGACCAAUAAAGUCACUAUACAAUGAUAAAGGGGUUAAUAUGGUUUCCAUUUGUGCCCCACCCAAAUUUCGUGUUCUAUUGUAAUCCUCAAUGUUGGAGGUGGGGCCUGGUGGGAUGUGAUUGGAUCAUGGGGGUGGAUCUUUCAUGACUAAUUCAGCACCAUCUUCUUAGUGCUGUUCUCAUGAUAGUGAGUUCUUCUGAAAUCUGGUUGCUUAAAAGUGUGUAGCACCUCUCCACACCACCCGCUUGCCUUGGUCUACUCCUGCUAUGUAGAUGCUUGCUCCCACUUUGCAUUAUUCCAUGAGUAAAAGCUCCUCAGGCCUUCCCAGAAUCAGAUGCCGCUAUGCUUCCUGAACAGCCUGUGGAACUAUGAGCCAAUUCAACCUCUUUUCUUCAUAAAUUAACAAGUCUUGGGUAUUUCUUUAUAGCAGUGUGAGAACAGAAUAAUACAGAAAAUUGGUAAAGAGGAGAGAGGCAUUGCUAGAAAGAUACCUGAGAAUGUGGAAACAGCAGUGGAACUGGGAAAUAGACAGAGGUUGGAAGAGUGUGGAGGGCUGCGAAGAUAGGAAGAUGAGGGGAAGUUUGGAAUUUCUUAGAGAUUUGUUAAAUUGUUUUGACCAAAAUACUGAUAGUGAUAUGGACAAUGAAGUCCAGGCUGAGGAGGUCUCAGAUGGAGAUGAGGGACUUAUUGGGACCUGGAGUGAAGGUCACUUUUGUUAGGACAUUGUGGUUGGAGACAUUGUGCCCCUGCCCUAGGAAUCUGUGGAACUUUGAACUUGAGAGCGAAGAUUUAGGGUAUCUGGCAGAAGAAAUUUCUAAGCAGCAAAGCGUUCAAGAUGUGACCUGGCUGCUUCUGGUAGUCUGUGCUCAUAUUUGUGAGCAAAGACAUGACAACAAACUGGAACUUUAAAAGGGAAGCAGAGUGUAAAAGUUUGGAGAAUUUGUAGCCUGGCCAUGUUGUAGAAAAGAAAAAAAACCAUUUUCUGGAGAGGAAUUCAAGCUAGCUGCAGAAAAUUGCAAGUAACAAGGAGCAAAAUGUUGAUAGCCAAGAUAGUGGGAAAAACACCUUGAAGGCAUUUCAAAUACCUUGGGGGCAGCCUCUCCCAUCACAGGCCCAAAGGCCUAGGAGGGAAGGAUGGUUUCCUGGGCCAGGCUCAGUUCCUGCUGCCCUGCACAACCUCAGGAAACUGCUCUCCAAAUCCCAGUUGCUCCAGCUCCAGCUUCAGCUCAAAGGGCCCCAGGUAUAGCUCAGGCUGCUGCUCCAAAGGAUGCAAGUUGUAAGCCUUAGUGGCUCCCGUGUGGUGUUAAAUUAAGCCUGUAGGUGCACAGAGUGCAAGAAUUGAGGCUUGGGAGCCUCCAACUAGAUUUCAGAGUAUGUGUGGGAAAGCCUGGAUGUCCAGGCAGAAGCCAGCUGCAGGGACAGAGCCCUCAUGGAGAACCUCUACUAGGGUAGUGUGGAGGGGAAAUUUGGGGUUGGAGUUCCCACACAGCUUCCCCUCUGGUGUACUGCCUAGUGGAGCUGUGAGAAGACAGCCACUGUCCUCCAGAUUCCAGGAUGGUAGAUCUGCCAAUGACAGCUUGCACUGUACAACUGGAAAAGCCACAGGCAGUCAAUGCCAGCCCGUGAAAGCAGUGACAGUGGCUUACCCUGCAAAGUCCCAGGGGCUGAGCUGCCCAAGGCCUUGGGAGCCCACCCCUUGCACCAGUGUGCCCUGGAUGUGAGAUAUGGAGUCAAAGGAGACUAUUUUGGAGCUUUAAGAUUUAAUGACUACCUGCUGGGUUUCAGACUUGCAUGGGUCCAGUAGCCCCUUUCUUUUGGACAAUUUUUCACUUUUGGAAUGGGAGUGUUUACCCAAUUCCUGUACCCCCACUCUAUGUUGGAAGUAACUAACUUUUUUUAUUUUGUAAGCUCACAGGUGGGAGAGACUUGCCUUGUCUCAGGCGAGACUCUGGACUUUGGACUUUUGAAUUAAUGCUGGAAUGAGUUAAGACUUUGAGGGACUGUUGGGAAGAUAUAACUGUAUUUUGCAGUAUGAGAAGGACAUGAGAUUUGGGAGACACCAGAGGUGGAAUACUGUGAUUUGGAUCUGCAUCCCCACCAAAAUCUCAUGUUCAAUUGUAAUCCUAAAUUUUGGAGGUUGAGCCUGGUGGAAGAGGAUUGGAUAAUGGGGGUGGUUUCUCAUGGUUUAACACCAUCCCCCUGGGUGCUUUUCUCAUGACAGUGAGUGAGUUAUUGUGAGAUCUGAUUGUUUAAAAGUGUGUGCCACCUCCUCCCACUUUCCUCCUGCUCCAGCCAUGUAAGACAGGCUUGCCUCCCCUUCACCUUCUGUCAUGAUUGUAAGUGUUCUGAGGCCUUCCCAGCCAUGCUUCCUGUACAGCCUGCAGAACUGUGAGCCAAUUAAACCUCUUUUCUCUAUAUAUUACCCAGUCUCAGGUAUUUCUUUAUAGCAGUGCAAGAAUAGACUAAUACAGGGUUCAAUUCAGCAAGAGGAUAUAACAAAUAUAAAUAUAUAUGCACUCAACACUGCAGCACCCAGAUAUAUAAAGCAAAUAUGAUUAGAGCUAAAGAGAGAGAGUGACCCCAGUACAAUAAUAGCUGGAGACUUCAACACCACAUUUUCAGCACUGGACAGAUCUUCCAGACAGAAAAUAAAAAAGAAACAUCAGACUUAAUCUGCACUGUAGAUCAAAUGGAUCUAAUACAUACUUGCAGAACAUUUUAUCCAAUGGCUGCAGAAUACACAUUCUUUUUUAGCACAUGUAUCAUUCUCAAGGAUAGACCAUAUGUUAGGUCACAAGUCUUAAAACAUUAAAAAAGUUGAAUACCAUCAAGCAUCUUCUCUGACCACAGUGGAAUACAACUAGAAACUAAUAACAAGAGGAAUUUUUGAAACUAUACAAAUACAUGAAAAUUAAACAAUAUGCUCCUGAAUGACCAUUGAGUCAAUGAAGAAAUUAAGAAGGAAAUUGAACAAUUUCUUGAAACAAAUGAUAAAGGAAACACAACAUACCAAAACCUAUGGGAUACGGCAAAAGCAGUACUAAGAGGCAAAUUUAUAGCUAUAAAUGCCUACAUGAAAAAAGAGGAAAAACUUCAAAUAAGUAAUUUAACAAUGAACCUUAACCAGAAAAGCAAGAGCAAAACAAACACAAAAUUAGAAGAAAACAAAUAAUAAAAAUCAGAGCAUAAAUAAAUAAAAUUGAAAUAAAAAUCAAUGCAAAAGAACAAUGAAACAAAAAGUUGCUUUUUUUUCAAAAGUUAAACAAAACUGACAAGCCUUUAGCAAGACUGAGAAAAAAGAGACAAGAUAUAAAUAAAUAAAAUCAGAAAUGAAAAAGACAUUACAACUGACACUGCAGAAAUUCAAAGGAUCAUUAGGGGCUACUACGAGCAACUCUAUGCCAAUAAAUUGGAAAAUCUAGAAGAAAUUGACAAUUCCUAGACACAUACAACCUACUGAGACUGAACCAGGAAGAAAUCCAAAACCUGAACAGAUUAAUAACAAGUAACAAAGUUGAAGCCAUAAUAAAAAGUCUCCCACUAAAGAAAACCAAGGACCCAAUGGCUUCACUGUUGAAUUCUACCAAACAUUUAAAGAAGAACUAAUACCAAUCCCACUCAAGCUAUUGAAAAAUAGAGGAGGAGAGAAUAUUUCCAAAGUCAUUCUAGGAGACCAGUAUCACCCUGAUACCAAAACCAGACAAAGACACAUCAAAAAAAGAAAAGUGCUGGCCAGUUUCUCUGAUGAAUAUUGAUGCCAGAAUCCUCAGCAAAAUAUUAGCAAACUAAAUUCAACAAUACAUUAAAAAGAUCAUUCAUCAGGGUCGGGUGCAGUGGCUUAAGCCUCUAAUCCCAGCACUUUGGGAGGCCGAGGUGGGCAGAUCACCUGAGGUCAGGAGUUCAAGACCAGCCUGACCAACAUGGUGAAACCUUGUCUCUACUGAAAAUACAAAAUUAGCCGAGUGUGGUGGUGCAUGCCUGUAAUCCCAGCUACUCAGGAGACUGAGGCAGGAGAAUCACUUGAACCCAGGAGGUGGAGGUUGCAGUGAGCUGAGAUUGUGGCACUGCACUCCAGCCUUGGUGACAGAGUGAGACUCCAUUAAAAAAAAAAGUCAUUUAUCAUGACCAAGUGGGAUUUAUCCCUGGAAUGCAAGGAUGGUUCAACACAUGCAAAUCAAUCAAUGUAAUACAUCAUAUCAAAAAGCAUGAUUAAAACCAUAUGAUUAUUUCUAUUGAUGCUGAAAAAGUAUUUUAUAAAAUCCAACAUCCCUUCAUGAUAAAAACCCUCAAAAAACUGUAUAAAAGAAAUAUACCUCAACGUAAUAGCCAGAUAUGACAGACCCACAGCUAGUAUCAUACUGAAUGGGGAAAAAGUGAAAGACUUUCCUAUAAGAUCUGGAACACAACAGGGAUGUUCACUGUCACCACUGUUAUUCAACAAAGUACUGGAUGUUCUAGCUAGAGCGAUCAGACAAGAGAAGAUAUAAAGGCCAUCCAAACUGGAAAGGGAGAAGUUAAAUUACCCUAGUUUGCAGAUGAUAUGAACUUAUAUUUGGAAAAAACCUAAAGGCUCCACAGGAAAACUAUUAGAAUCAAUAAAUUCAGUAAAGUUGCAGGACACAAAAUCAACAUAUAAAAACCAGUAGCAUUUCUAUAUGCCAACAGUGAACAAUUUGAAAAAUUUUAAAUUUAAGAAGGUAAUUUCAUUUACAAUAGCCACACAUAAAAUUAAAUACCUAGGAAUUAACCAAAAAUGUGCAAGAUAUCUAUGAGGAGAAUUAUAAAACAUUGAUGAAAGAAAUUGAAGAGGACACACAAAAAAAUGGAAAAAAUUCCAUCUUUAUGGAUUGGAAGAAUCAAUAUUGUUAAAAUGUCCGUACUACCCAAAGCAAUCUACAGAUUCAAUGCAAUCACUAUCAAAAUACCAAUAAUAGUCUUCAGAGAAAUAGAAAAAAAAAUCCCAAAAUUUAUAUGAAAACACAGAAUGCCCAGAAUAGCCAAAAUUAUCUUAAGCAAAAAGAUCAAAACUGGAGGAAUCACAUUACCUGACUUCAAAUUAUGCUACAGAGCUAUAAUCACCAAAACAGCAUGGUACUGACAUAAAAACAGACACACAGUCCAACAGAACAGAAGAGAGAACCUAGAAACAAAUCCACACACUCACAGGAACUCAUUUUUGACAGAGUUGCCAAGUACUUAUACUGGAGAAAAGAAAAGACAGUCUCUUCAAUGAAAUGGUGCUGGGAAAACUGGAUAUCCAUAUGCAGAAGAAUGAAACUAGACCCCUACCUCUCACUGUAGACAAAAGUCAAAUCAAGGCUAGGCAUGGUGGCUUACACCUGUAAUCUCAGCACUUUGGGAGGCUGAGACAGGCGUAUCACGAGGUGAAGAGAUUGAGACCAUCCUGACCAACAUGGUGAAACUCACCCCCCCCCCCAACUAAAAAUACAAAAAUUAGCUGGGCGUGAUGGCAUGUGCCUGCAGUCCUAGCUACUCAGGAGGCUGGGGCAGGAGAAUCGCUUGAACCCAGGAGGUGGAGGUUGCAGUGAGCUGAGAUUGUGCCACUGCACUCCAGCCUGGCGACAGAGCAAGACUCCAUCUCAAAAAAUAAAAAAUAAAAAAUCAAUUCAAAAUGUAAUAAAGACUUAAAUCUAAGACCUCAAACUAUGAAACUACUAUAAGAAAACAUUGGGGAAAACCUCCAGGACAGUAGUCUGGCCAAAAAUUUCUUGAGCAAUACCCCACAAGCACAGGCAACCAAAAUAAAACUGGACAAAUAGUAUCACAUCAAGUUUAAAAGCUUCUACAAAGCAAAGGAUACAAUCAAUAAAGAGACAACCCACAGAAUGGGAGAAAAUAUUUGCAAACUACUCAUCUGACAAAGAAAUAAUAACCAGAGUAUAUAAGAAGCUCAAACAACUCUAUAGUAAAAAAAAAAAAAAAAUUCUAGAAGUCUAAGUAAAAAAUGGGCAAAAGAUUUGAAUAGACAUUUCUCAAAAGAAGACAUACAGGCCAUGCGUGGUGGCUCAUGCCUGUAAUCCCAGCACUUUGGGAGGCCCAGGUGGGUGGAUCACUUGAGGUCAGGAGUUUGAGACCAGCCUGACCAACAUUGUGAAACUCCGUCUCUACUAAAAAUACAAAAAUAAGCCAGGCAUGGUGGCGCACACCUGUAAUCCCAGCUACUCAGGAGGCUGAGGCAGGAGAAUCGCUUGAACCUGGGAGACAGAGGUUGCAGUAAGCCGAGAUCACACCACUGCACUCCAGCCUGGGCAACAAAGUGAGACUCCGUCUCAAAAAAAAAAAAAAGAAAAAAAGGAAGAAGACAUACAAAGCCAGGUACAGUGGCUUAUGCCUCUAAUCCUAGCACUUUAGGAGGCCAAGGCAGAAUUGAGCCCAGAAGUUUGAGACCAGACUGAGCAAUAUGGUCAAACCCCAAUUCUGCAAAAUACAAAAAUAUAAAAUAGCUGGGAGUGGUGGUGCACACCUGUAGUCCCAGCUACUUAGGAAGCUGAGAUGGGAGGAUCACUUGAGCCUGCAGUGAAUCAUAAUUGCACCAAUGCACUCCAGCCUGGGCGACAGAGUGAGAGACACUGUCUCAAAAAAAAGAAAGAAAAAGAAAAAAAAGAAAGGACAUAAAAAUGACAAACAGGCAUAUGAAAAGGUGCUGAUGAUUAUUGAUCAUCAGAGAAAUGCAAAUCAAAACUGCAAUGAGAUAUAAUCUCACCCCAGUUAAAAUGGCUUAUAUCCAAAAGACAGGCAAUAACAAAUGCUGGUGAGGAUGUGGAAAAAAGGGAACCCUCGUACACUGUUGAUGGGAAUGUAAAUUAGUACAACCACUAUGGAUAACAGUUUAGAGGUUCCUCAGAAAACUAAAAAUUGAGUUGUGAUAUGAUGCAACAAUCCUACUGCUGGGUAUAUACCCCACAAAAGAGAAAACCAGCGUUUUGCAUGGUGGCUCACACCUGUAAUCCCAGCACUAUGGGAGGCCGAGGAGGGCAGAUCACUUGAGCCCAGAAGUUCAAGACCAGCCCGAGCAACAUGGCAAAACCUGAUUUCUACAAAAUACAAAAANNNNNNNNNNACACUGUUUACAAUACCUAAGAUUUGGAAGCAACCUAAAUGUCCAACAGCAGAUGAAUGGAUAAGGAAAAUUUGGUAUGUAUACACAAUGAAGUACUAUUCAGCCAUAAAAAGGAAUGAGAUCCAGUCAUUUGCAACAGCAUGGAUGGAAGUGGAGAUCAUUAUGUUAAAUGAAAUAAGCCAGGCACAGAAAGGCAAACAUGGCAUGUUCUCACUUAUUUGUGGGACCUAAAUUCAAAACAAUUGAACUAAUGGACAUAAAGAGUAGAAGAAUGGUUACCAGAGGCUAGGAAUGGUAGUGGGGGGCUGAAGGGAAGGUGGGGAUGUUUAAUCGGUAAAAAAAAUUUUUAGAAGAAUAAGACCUACUAUUUGAUAGCACAACAGGGGGACUAUAGUCAAUAAUAAUUACACAUUUAAAAAUAGUGUAAUUGAAUUGUUUGUAACUCAAAGGAUAAAUGCUUGAGGGAAUGGAUACCCCAUUCUCCAUGAUGUGCUUAUUUCACAUUGCAUACCUGUAUCAAAACAUCUCAUGUACCCCAUAAAUAUAUGCAGCUAUUAUGUACCCACAAAAAUUGAAAAUCAAAAAUAAAAUAUUUUUUAAAAUGUAUUAUUAUUUGUCCUCUGUGAAUAAAACUCGCUUCUGGCCCUCCUUUUUAUAGGUAUUUAAAAGAAUGCAUUUAGGCAGAUCAAUGGCAUUAUAUAAUAUACAAAAACAAUAAAUCUGCUUUUUUUUAAAACAUCACAUUCAGCACAGCUGCUGAAGUUGGGGCUAAUUAUAGGUUACAUUUUCAUUAAUCCACUGUCAUCUGUUAUCAUCCAUCCAAUUUUUGCUAGAACUGGAGUGGUAAAUUAAAUAGUUGAUGAAACCACAACCCCUGCAUCUUUUAUGUCUUUGAGUGACAGUUUAUUUCAUUGCCCCUCAAAUACUACAUUGUUUUAAAAUUUCUAUCUUGGUCGAUAUUAGAAGCUCUCUUAGGGGCAUCCACUUGGCCUUUCUUACUACAAGUCCUUUAUUCCACAGGUGAAAUGACUAAAGUGUGAGUGAAAUAACUAAUGUACAAAAUAAAUCCAUCAAUUACAUAUUUGGAAACCAGAAAAAUAACCACCAAGCAGAUGUGUGGACACAGAGAAUCCACUGAGAUACGGGUGGACCUGAGACAGGAAAUUAUUUUCAGUUCCCUGUGUGCCUCUCCUCUAAUAGAAGUCCAUGAGGGUGCUUUGGUUCCCCAGGUAUCAGUGUGAAAUUGGACCCUGUAUCCAAUAGACCUAAAAAUAUCUGGACAUUCCCCUUUAUCAGUGUCUUGAUACCUGAGUAAAUGGCCAUUGAUCCCUUUAGGCAAGGGUGUAGAAAGUGUCUACUGUACACACUUAUGGUGUUUCAGAUACUUCAUCAGGGACGUGACUCUCCUUCAAUGAAUGGAUUCUGGAUCUAAGAACUGGCUCAAGUCUGGAAACUGGGCAAGGGAUUUUAAACUUCUAUUGGAGAAAUUAAUCUCAGACUUCAGCUCAUCUAUUUUUCAUCUAUUGAUUCUAAUAUUAAACAACAGUCUUAUAGGCUGCCCAACUAGGAACACCAUAGUCUUAGUAAUUUCCCUAAAUCCCUUGCAGUCAGGAUUUCCUGGCUUCCAUUCUAACAUUACUCACUAUUUUGGGGAUUUUGUCCAUUUUGAUUCUGCCUUGCUGCCAGCUGGCCUCUAGCUUUCUGGGAUCCUACUGUCCUAUUGUUGCUAGGGCACCAAGUUCUCCAAUAUCAUCUCAUAGAGUCAGCUCCAGCCCACAAAGGACAAAAUUAGGUUAAUACCCCGUUCACCUGCCCAUGACUUGUUGCCUGAUAAAUAGAGUUUCCUUUGGGCCCUUCCAAAUAAACAGUCACCCAGUGCAUGAUCCAGUUUUAUAGAGUGUAUCUAUCUAUGCCAGCAUGCUCACUGCUCUGAGCCUUUUGGUCUCUUUCUCCACAAUCUGCCAUGGCAGCUCUGGCACAUCGAUUUUAUUUCAUGUGAGCCAUCAUUUUUCAUUAGGACAGUUUCAUUAAGA